rnacentral:rRNA from 1 species
GAUAGUAACUGAUCAGGUAGUGACGGUAUCCAACCAGAAAGCCACGGCUAACCUACGUGCCAGCAGCCGCGGUAAUACGUAGGUGGCAAGCGUUGUCCGGAUUUAUUGGGCGUAAAGCGAGCGCAGGCGGUUUCUUAAGUCUGAUGUGAAAGCCUUCGGCUCAACCGAAGAAGUGCAUCGGAAACUGGGAAACUUGAGUGCAGAAGAGGACAGUGGAACUCCAUGUGUAGCGGUGAAAUGCGUAGAUAUAUGGAAGAACACCAGUGGCGAAGGCGGCUGUCUGGUCUGUAACUGACGCUGAGGCUCGAAAGCAUGGGUAGCAAACAGGAUUAGAUACCCUGGUAGUCCAUGCCGUAAACGAUGAGUGCUAGGUGUUGGAGGGUUUCCGCCCUUCAGUGCCGCAGCUAACGCAUUAAGCACUCCGCCUGGGGAGUACGACCGCAAGGUUGAAACUCAAAGGAAUUGACGGGGGCCCGCACAAGCGGUGGAGCAUGUGGUUUAAUUCGAAGCAACGCGAAGAACCUUACCAGGUCUUGACAUCCUUUGACCACUCUAGAGAUAGAGCUUUCCCUUCGGGGACAAAGUGACAGGUGGUGCAUGGUUGUCGUCAGCUCGUGUCGUGAGAUGUUGGGUUAAGUCCCGCAACGAGCGCAACCCUUAUUACUAGUUGCCAGCAUUUAGUUGGGCACUCUAGUGAGACUGCCGGUGACAAACCGGAGGAAGGUGGGGACGACGUCAAAUCAUCAUGCCCCUUAUGACCUGGGCUACACACGUGCUACAAUGGAUGGUACAACGAGUUGCGAGACCGCGAGGUUUAGCUAAUCUCUUAAAACCAUUCUCAGUUCGGAUUGUAGGCUGCAACUCGCCUACAUGAAGCCGGAAUCGCUAGUAAUCGCGGAUCAGCAUGCCGCGGUGAAUACGUUCCCGGGCCUUGUACACACCGCCCGUCACACCAUGAGAGUUUGUAACACCCAAAGCCGGUGAGGUAACCCUUCGGGAGCCAGCCGUCUAAG